AGGAAAUUUUAGUAAACUGGUUCCACCUCACAGGAUGAAGGACAUUCGGCCAGCAGCUGCAGGAUUUCCUGACUGCACUUGGCUGAACAUUUGGCUUCAGCUGAUAGAAGCAAGUAGACCUAUGUUCUGGCCAAAAUGACAGAGAUAAACUGUCCCUCUCUCUCUCUCUUUCUGAAUUCUUCCAGAAGAAGUGAAUUUGGCUCAAUCAGCAGGUCUGGGUGCAUGAACUUGCAAUAGGCGGGGGAAGGCAGACAUGUGUUGCAUAUGGGGUGCUCACAGCUCCUGAGCACUUGGCAACCCCACUGGGGCCCACCUUGCUCCUCCCCUCUGUUCACACUGACCUCACCAACUUCUCAACUCAUCGUUUCAAGUCGUCGCUGUCAACUGAUCAGAGUGGACACACAAGCUGAUGUUUCGUUUUCUGCUGACACCAAAGCCUCUUACCUCUGGUGUGAAAAUAUUCGAAGUCUUCGUCUCAAAGCACAGCCCGUUGAAGAGAGGAGCAUGGGAGAAGACCACCUGCAGGGUGAGGAGACCCCGGGAACGGUCACCUGUGUGAAGUGGGCCUUCAGGGGAGACACUGAGGGGACCAUCUUAUCUGGUCAGCCGGAAAUAGCAUUACCCAUAUCUGGGGGGGGAUGCGGUAGGAGGGCCCCCGGUGGCAACUACAGAUCUCUGCCAGGACUCUGAUGAUUCAGUUUCCCCAAGGCCUGGCCUCUUGCUAAGGAAGUCACGAUGACUGUUGCUACUCAGCAUCUCAUUUCACUCUGUGUUUACGCUUGCAUGUGUGUAAAAAAAAAAAAAAAAACUCCCGGUAGCUAGCCUUUAAAUAGCAUCCGAAAAUACUUCUGCAAACCAACAAUAAAAAGAUACUCAAAAAGAGGAUAAAAAUGUGC
rnacentral:lncRNA from 1 species